AUCUGUGUCAAAGAGAUCAGAAAUUGCAAGUCAGUAGCAGUGAUCAAGACGAAGAUAUAUAAAAAACGGAUGAAGAUGAAUUUAAUGUUUAAUCUGUACCUUGGAGUUUGCAGAGGAUCUUGCGGAUCUUCUUGUAGCAUGGGCGGCAAUCCAGAUCAACCGUUAGGAUUAGCACAAAGCUCUGCAUGUUGACACAGCAGAAUUAGUAAAGAACUUAAAUGAGUGGUCAUCGGCAGCAGACUUAACUAGGCGCCGUCUAGAACACAUGGCAACACUUCAUCCUUCUGGAGACAGCUAGUUCAUUUGGAAAGGAGAAAGUUUGAUGUUGCCUGUCAGUGUGUUUCCGUGUUAAGCAUUCCCAUGAAAGUGGCUAAGUAAGGGUGAGGCCAUGGAAUCAGGUUCUUUCUUGCACUGACUAUGCAUGGCAAUUUAUAAGAAAUCAAGAAGCUUUUGGAUCUUGAUGCUAAAUUUAAAGUAUUGAUCCUUUGAGAAAGUAGACAACACAUGCAUGCGUGGGGAUUCUGGAGAAACAAGUCCCUUUUCGCUUUGCAGCAAGGCAAAAGCAGAGAGCAUCAUAGUAGGUUUUUUAUUGCUAGGCUAGAGUUGACGAUUAUUCACAGUUCCGGACUUGGUCAGAAUUGCAUUUUGGUACCGUACAGUUUCAAAUUCAUGUUCCUUGGUUAUGAAAAUAAGCAGUCAUUUGCUUUCA